ensembl:lncRNA
GGGACCAGGCAGGCAGGCAGGGACUAGGCAGGCAGGCAGGAACCAGGCAGGCAGGAACCAGGCAGGCAGGAACUAGGCAGGCAGGCAGGGACCAGGCAGGCAGACAGGGCCCAGGCAGGCAGACAGGCAGGAACCAGGCAGGCAGGAACUAGGCAGGCAGGCAGGGACCAGGCAGGCAGACAGUGCCCAGGCAGGCAGACAAGUUCCCAAGGCACGCCUGCAUGACCCUAUGCAUGUUAGUGUCUGUGGUUGCUAUUUUAUAUUGAAAUAAC